rnacentral:rRNA from 1 species
UACGUAGGGAGCAAGCGUUGUCCGGAAUCAUUGGGCGUAAAGCGCGCGUAGGUGGCUUCGUAAGUCCGUUGUGAAAGUCAAAGGCUCAACCUUUGAAAGCCGAUGGAUACUGCGGAGCUAGAGUACGGAAGAGGCGAGUGGAAUUCCUGGUGUAGCGGUGGAAUGCGCAGAUAUCAGGAGGAACACCAAUAGCGAAGGCAGCUCGCUGGGACGUUACUGACACUGAGGCGCGAAAGCGUGGGGAGCGAUCCGG